UACGUAGGGGGCAAGCGUUGUCCGGAUUUAUUGGGCGUAAAGAGCGUGUAGGCGGCCAGGUAGGUCCGUUGUGAAAACUCGAGGCUCAACCUCGAGACGCCGAUGGAAACCAUCUGGCUAGAGUCCGGAAGAGGAGAGUGGAGUUCCCGGUGUAGCGGUGAAAUGCGCAGAUAUCGGGAAGAACACCCGUGGCUAAGGCGGCUCUCUAGUACGGUACUGACGCUGAGACGCGAAAGCGUGGGGAGCGAACAGG
rnacentral:rRNA from 1 species